rnacentral:rRNA from 1 species
AGACCCGAAACCCGGUGAUCUAGCCAUGGGCAGGUUGAAGGUUGGGUAACACUAACUGGAGGACCGAACCGACUAAUGUUGAAAAAUUAGCGGAUGACCUGUGGCUGGGGGUGAAAGGCCAAUCAAACCGGGAGAUAGCUGGUUCUCCCCGAAAGCUAUUUAGGUAGCGCCUCGUGAAUUCAUCUCCGGGGGUAGAGCACUGUUUCGGCUAGGGGGCCAUCCCGGCUUACCAACCCGAUGCAAACUGCGAAUACCGGAGAAUGUUAUCACGGGAGACACACGGCGGGUGCUAACGUCCGUCGUGAAGAGGGAAACAACCCAGACCGCCAGCUAAGGUCCCAAAGUCAUGGUUAAGUGGGAAACGAUGUGGGAAGGCCCAGACAGCCAGGAUGUUGGCUUAGAAGCAGCCAUCAUUUAAAGAAAGCGUAAUAGCUCACUGGUCGAGUCGGCCUGCGCGGAAGAUGUAACGGGGCUAAACCAUGCACCGAAGCUGCGGCAGCGACACUGUGUGUUGUUGGGUAGGGGAGCGUUCUGUAAGCCUGUGAAGGUGUGUCGUGAGGCAUGCUGGAGGUAUCAGAAGUGCGAAUGCUGACAUAAGUAACGAUAAAGCGGGUGAAAAGCCCGCUCGCCGGAAGACCAAGGGUUCCUGUCCAACGUUAAUCGGGGCAGGGUGAGUCGACCCCUAAGGCGAGGCCGAAAGGCGUAGUCGAUGGGAAACGGGUUAAUAUUCCCGUACUUGGUGUUACUGCGAAGGGGGGACGGAGAAGGCUAUGUUGGCCGGGCGACGGUUGUCCCGGUUUAAGCGUGUAGGUGUGUGUUCCAGGUAAAUCCGGUUCACUUUAACACUGAGGCGUGACGACGAGGCACUACGGUGCUGAAGCAACAAAUGCCCUGCUUCCAGGAAAAGCCUCUAAGCAUCAGGUAACAUCAAAUCGUACCCCAAACCGACACAGGUGGUCAGGUAGAGAAUACCAAGGCGCUUGAGAGAACUCGGGUGAAGGAACUAGGCAAAAUGGUGCCGUAACUUCGGGAGAAGGCACGCUGACACGUAGGUGAAGUGAUUUACUCAUGGAGCUGAAGUCAGUCGAAGAUACCAGCUGGCUGCAACUGUUUAUUAAAAACACAGCACUGUGCAAACACGAAAGUGGACGUAUACGGUGUGACGCCUGCCCGGUGCCGGAAGGUUAAUUGAUGGGGUCAGCGCAAGCGAAGCUCCUGAUCGAAGCCCCGGUAAACGGCGGCCGUAACUAUAACGGUCCUAAGGUAGCGAAAUUCCUUGUCGGGUAAGUUCCGACCUGCACGAAUGGCGUAAUGAUGGCCAGGCUGUCUCCACCCGAGACUCAGUGAAAUUGAACUCGCUGUGAAGAUGCAGUGUACCCGCGGCAAGACGGAAAGACCCCGUGAACCUUUACUAUAGCUUGACACUGAACAUUGAGCCUUGAUGUGUAGGAUAGGUGGGAGGCUUUGAAGUGUGGACGCCAGUCUGCAUGGAGCCGACCUUGAAAUACCACCCUUUAAUGUUUGAUGUUCUAACGUGGACCCGUUACCCGGGUUGCGGACAGUGUCUGGUGGGUAGUUUGACUGGGGCGGUCUCCUCCUAAAGAGUAACGGAGGAGCACGAAGGUUGGCUAAUCCUGGUCGGACAUCAGGAGGUUAGUGCAAUGGCAUAAGCCAGCUUGACUGCGAGCGUGACGGCGCGAGCAGGUGCGAAAGCAGGUCAUAGUGAUCCGGUGGUUCUGAAUGGAAGGGCCAUCGCUCAACGGAUAAAAGGUACUCCGGGGAUAACAGGCUGAUACCGCCCAAGAGUUCAUAUCGACGGCGGUGUUUGGCACCUCGAUGUCGGCUCAUCACAUCCUGGGGCUGAAGUAGGUCCCAAGGGUAUGGCUGUUCGCCAUUUAAAGUGGUACGCGAGCUGGGUUUAGAACGUCGUGAGACAGUUCGGUCCCUAUCUGCCGUGGGCGCUGGAGAACUGAGGGGGGCUGCUCCUAGUACGAGAGGACCGGAGUGGACGCAUCACUGGUGUUCGGGUUGUCAUGCCAAUGGCACUGCCCGGUAGCUAAAUGCGGAAGAGAUAAGUGCUGAAAGCAUCUAAGCACGAAACUUGCCCCGAGAUGAGUUCUCCCUGAGACUUAAAGUCUCCUGAAGGAACGUUGAAGACGACGACGUUGAUAGGCCGGGUGUGUAAGCGCAGCGAUGCGUUGAGCUAACCGGUACUAAUGAACCGUGAGGC